AGCGAAUUAAUCAAAAAGAAUUAAGCAAAAAUUUACCACGAAACCAUUUCGUAAAUUUCACGAAAGAUUCACAUAUUUAUAAAUGAAAAUUUCAAAACGUAAAAGAAAAAAAUAAAUAAAAGACAAUAAGUACAGUUACAUUUACACGUCUAUAUUUGAAAAAUAAAGCAAAACUCGAUAAGAUAAGAAAAUCGAAACAUAUUUUAUAUUAAACUUCAUCGCUAGAAAUAUAAUAAUUUUCGAUAACAAGUUCUUCAUUCCGUAGAUCCCUAUCAACAUAUCGCUCGCUCGUUCUUUUCUCCUCCCUGAUAGUGGUUCGUUCAGGAAUUACUUGGCCGAUGUUCCAACAACAAAAGUGAUUCGACCGGAUUAUUACAAGAAAGUGUAGCAAAUGCGUAAUUCGAUGGAAUACAUCGAAUAACUCGGAAUUACAUUGUGGUUGGACAGAGAUCAUCGUGGAAAGGAGGGUUGAAACCACGUAGUGGACGAGAGAAGGAACGGUCGCGACGCGUUGGCGAGAAGAAAACAGCUGGAUCGCCAUUCGUUUUCGCGGUUAUUGUAGACAGACUCGGUUCACAAUAUACAUACACUUUGGUAUCAAUGUACGUGUAAGCGCGUACCUACGAAUUCCUUCCGGAGCCAUGCUCGUUCCACUAAAUACGCGAGAUCCAAUUUGGACGAAUCCCAAAAUUCGAAGAAAUAGUACCACGCAUAUAUGCCCGCAUAUACAUACAUGUAUGUACAUAACAUACAGAAUUGUGUCUCUAUUCAAUAUCAAGUUGACCUUAAAAAUAAAAUUUAAAAAAAAAUAUCUUGUAUUAAAGGAUUUUAAAUUUGAAGAUUAUUAAUGUGAUGUGAAAAAUAAUUUUUCUUUAUUUUUUUAUCUCUAACUUUUAUAUUACAUAAUACUUUAUAUGAUACUUUAUAUAAGAUAAGUAAGAAGAUUACUCUAGUAGAUAUGCAUAUAAUUUUAUGUAUAUUGCAGGCAUUCAAUUUCAACCAAAAACUUUCCAGCAAAUGUUAUUGGUACCUUCGACUUCAUCCUCUAUUGCUUCUAUACUUCUACUUUGUAAUUGUCUUUGAUGAGAUUUGCCUUCCGUGAAAUCUCUUUUUCGAGACAAAAACAUUCGUUCUGAACUCAUUAGAUCCAAUACAAAGACGAGAUUAUUGUAUCUAACAAGUGUAAAUGUUUCUGUUAAUCGUCCUCUAACUGGAAAUUCACGAUUCAACCUGGUAUUUCAAUUAUUUUGCCGAUAAGACGAUCCAGUAAGAGUAGAUUGUAUCUCUUUUCAACUCAAUCCAGGUCUCAACUAAACCAGAUACAUAGGCAAGCAACAAGAGUCAACUCGUGAAACUACACAAGACGUUAAACUCAAGGAAGAUGAAAGUACGAAGUCUGCUUGUGACGCGAGUUAACUUGAAACGUUCGAAACGACAAGAUUUCAACUCGGUCGGUUGAUGACAGCUUUGUUACCGACUGUACCAUACUAGUUCCAUACAUAUGCAAAAACAUUCGGUACUUACCUCCUUACGAAGAUGAUACGAAAUAGUUACAAGAUAAAGAAAAUAAAAGAUUCGAGGAAAAACUGGGAAAGAAAUAAUCUAACCAAUAUUCCAAUAUAACGAGAGAACAAACAUAAGUGGAAUAACUCGGAAGUUAAGAUAAACAGAAUUUAUAAUGGAAAUUUCUUUUCAUAAUCGGUCGAGUUUUACGAAACUUCCUACGUAUUUUAAUCCUGGAUCCUGGAACGAGUUAUGGUUAACCCGGUUGCUGUUGAAUUAACCAGAAAAUAAGACCAAACAUCGAAAUUUCGCAAGUUUUUAAAUUAUAAUUCUUAUUGUGUA